rnacentral:miRNA from 1 species
AAGUGAUUCUAAAAUUUAAUG